rnacentral:rRNA from 1 species
UACGGAGGGUGCAAGCGUUGUUCGGAUUUAUUGGGCGUAAAGCGCGUGUAGGCGGCCCGCUAAGUCUGAUGUGAAAGCCCGGGGCUCACCCCCGGAAGUGCAUUGGAGACUGGCGGGCUCGAGUCCCGGAGAGGAGGGUGGAAUUCCUGGUGUAGCGGUGAAAUGCGUAGAUAUCAGGAGGAACACCGGUGGCGAAGGCGGCCCUCUGGACGGUGACUGACGCUGAGACGCGAAAGCGUGGGGAGCAAACAGG